CUAAGUAGUUUAAAGUAUCCCUUUAAAGCAUAGUCUACCUUGGUCAGUAGAGCAUUGCAUGGCGAUUAACUUGGCUUCUACUUUGGUUUCUACAUUGGUUUGCAAACUUCUUCCUGGCCUCAGCAAUGGUUGCCCCAAAGGCUCCCCCAAGGGGUGAAGGAGAGCAGAGGGAUCUGAUAGGUGCUCACCGCUCCUGCAAUAGAAGUGUUGAAUACAGAAUAAAGCAUCUCUCAUGGUGAUUGGAUGUCAAAUAAAUCCUUGCCAAUAGUUGAGAAGAGCUUAUGUUGCUAGGCUAGUCCCAAAUCUGUUUUUCCAAUCACCCACAUCAACUAAUCAUAGACCAGUGGGUCUAUCUGAAGUUAUAGAAAGGAUGAGGGGGAGAGAUCAUUUGCCAUCAGAGUAGGAGUGCUGAUCUAGGAUCAGGUCCUCUGUCUAUUUAAUAGUAUUGUAGUAUUCAUUAUGAUCUUACCUUUUGCAAAUCCUUAGUCUGAUUUGUUCUCUUGGGUCAAAGUGGACCUUGUAUAUUAAUAAAAUAUUAUUGGUACUGUAAAUCCAUAUGUACAUGUACUAGCUAGCUAGCAUUGUAGUAGUACCUAAUAUAGGAUACUUGUAUUAACUGUUGUAGAUUCAUUUCAUGACCAUGAGUUCCUACAUGCGCUCCAGUAUUAAAGUUGCCAUACAGUGGCCACCACUAUUCCUCCAGCCACAUCUGGAACUCUAAGACAGACAGGCUGGCAGACAGACACACACAAAGGGCUAGCUCUAGCUUUUUGGGGACCCAAAGCGAGAUUUGGUUGGAGGAGGCGUCUCCCCACCACCAAGCGGGGGAAAUUGGCUGGUCGCCAGCUGGACGGUGUUUCCUCCGACACAUUGGUGCGGCUGGAUCUGGGUUAAGCGAGCAGUGUGUCAAGAAGCAGUGCGGCUUGGCAAGGUUGUGUUUCGGAGGACGCAUGGCUCUCGACCUUCGCCUCUCCCGAGUCCAUAGGGUAGUUGCAGCGAUGGGACAAGACUGUGACUACCAAUUGGAUACCAAGGAAAAGGGAGCCUUGAAGAACACAGAAUUCUCUGCAAUGUACGUAAACUAAUGACAACACCAUUUAUAUUGCUCAAUGAUACUAAUAUCUCCCAAUGCCUUAAACCGAGGAGAAAAUCAAAGUUGAUCAACUCAAGGAGACUGGCCAUAAUGUCAACCUGUGCAUGAGAGGAAGCCAAGCUUGCCAAGCAGCCAUUGCUAACGUUUCAUCGUAAUAAAGGAUAUUUCUCAUCAUAAAGGAUUAUUUAGUAAUAAUAAUAACAACUUUCUCGUUAUGAACGUGAUCUUUCUCGUAAUAAUGAGGUAAUGGAUUAUUUUGUUAUACCAAGUUAUUGAAUUGUUUUGGAAUAAUGUGAUCUUAUCUUGUAAUAAAAUAAUAAUCUGAGUGGCAGCAAUACACCACCGUACUCAUAACUCAUUUAAAGAUUUUUUUUUGGGGGGGGUUGGCAGGAACGGGCUUCUGUAGAUCACACAUCUCACCCACAAUUCCUUCUACAAAAAAAAAGAAGUAAUCUUUUGAAGGGGGCCAAGGACCCAUGAUGCCAGUCAGAGUUUAAUGAAGGUGAAUUUGGUCUCCUUGGUGAGGCUGCAAGCAGCAGCGUUGCCAUCUGUCACCAUAAUUGCAUGGCAGCCGGCAUCUCUGGAG
rnacentral:lncRNA from 1 species